rnacentral:rRNA from 1 species
UACAGGGGCUAAAUAUGCUAAAGGCACCAUAUCCUAUUUGAUCUUUGAUGCUAAACAGGAUUAAGCCUAGUUAGUAUUUGGGAGGAUCACCAAUGAAUACCAGGUGCUGUAGGCU